CCAGAGGGUGUGUCUGGUUAUUGCAGAGCCGCACAGCUGGGGACCAGAUCCUCACGGUGAGAGGAGCUGCUUCGUGCUCACCCUCAGCCCAAGGAAGACUCCUGGGGUGAAGCCACACCUCCGUUCCAGCCUGACCCAGACGGAGCGGAAGGGAGAUCCCUGAGACCCUGCAGCUGCCACCAUGAGCUCAGAUGACCCGACACCCCCACAGCUCUGUGAGGGUCAGUGGCCCACUGAGCUGAACCUGGUCUGGCCUUGGCCGCUUCCCACCUGUGUGACCUGGAGCGACUCACCUGACCUCACCUGUGAGAUGCGACCAUUAUUGCCCCGUGUGUCGUUAUGAGGAUCGACGCAUCGUGUGUCUGUGCCCUGGGCCAGUGCCUGUCACGGUGCAGGUCCUCCCUGAGGGCUGUGGCUGAACCCCCCACCUGCACUUGAUAUAGAGGACUUUUUGAAGGCUGUCAUUAAGUGUUUGCAAACCGUAAUAAAGAAUGAGGAGAUGAAACGUCUGCUCACUCAAGUCCUGGACAGAAUUCUGGCUGAGAUCCGUUUGCCCAGGGAAGAGGCAGAUGCACUGUGUGAGUAUCUGGAGGAGCUGGAAACAGACUUGAGCAUGAAGAAUAAAGAGAAGCUGGAUAGAAAGAGGUUUUUGACGAGGUUUCCUCACAUAAAACUGGAGCUCGAGGAGCGUAUAGGAAAGCUGCAUGCGCUUGCGGACAAGGCUGACAAAGUACACAGAGACUGCACCAUCUCCAAAGUGGUGGCCACCUCCGCUGACGCUGUGUCCAGCGUCCUGACCAUCGUCGGUCUGUCUCUGGCACCCGUGACUGCAGGGGUCAGCCUAGCACUCUCUGCCACUGGGUUGGGGCUGAGAAUAGCGGCUUCUGUGACCAGUGUGUCCACCGACAUUGUGGACAAGAUCAGUCUUUCAUUAAGAGAAACUGAAGCCAGUUGCCUUCUGUCAACUGAUAUCAAAAAAUGGCACGUGGUCGUGCAGGUUCUAGUUAAGAACACCCCCAAAAUUGUUGACAAUGCACGGGUACUUGCAAAAGCCAUAGAACGCGUUGAAACCAACAUUAGAGCCAUGGAGCGGGUCAAAGUCAACCCUUGCUUAGAAGCUCACUCAAAUCUCUUAUGGACCGAUGAGGGAAUCGAAGCCUUAAGCAGCACACAGAGGAAGGCAGCUUUCAGAGGCAGUGCUCUGGCAAUGACCAAAAACGCCCGGAUCAUGGGAAUAGCCACUGCAGGUGUCGGCCUUCUGGUGGACGUGGGCUUCCUGGUGAAGGAGUCAAUCCACUUGCACAAAGGGGCAAAGACACAGUUGGCUGAAGCGCUGAGGCAGCGUGCCCAGAAACUGGAGGGGAAGUUGGAGGAGCUCACCUGCAUCUAUGACAGUCUGCAGGAGGGCCCGACUCCGCCACCCCCAGAGCAGUGCACGGACCAGACCCAUGUCCAGGGCCAAGACUAGGAGGUGCCUUUGUUUGAGAGGGAAAGAAGGGUCAAUGUAUCUCUGGAGCUGAGUGCAGCAGGGGAGGAAUUGAUGCAGAUGGCAGCUGGGUGCAAGACAAGGAAGGGGCGUGGAGCCUGCAAUAAGGGAGGAGAGGGGACUGGAGAGAGAGGGGAAUGGGAAAAACCAUCAAUUUUGGACUAAAAAAAGACACUGAGGCAUGAUUAAAGACAGAGGCAGGGAGGAACAAGCAAUGAGAAGGCCAGGAAUACCAAAGAGUUCUGGCAGUGGUCUCUAGCCCUGCUUUUCCAGUAUCAAUGCACAUUGGACUUCCAGCUGAUUGAUGUAAUUAGGCAGAGACUUUUUUUUUUUUUUUUUUUUUUUUGGCUUCCAUGUGGCAUAUGGAGUUCCCAGGUCAGGGAUCAGAACCAAGCCGUCGUUGUGACCUAAGCCACAGCAACUCUGGAUCCUUAACACACUGUGCUGGGCUGGGGAUUGAACCUGCGUCUUGAGUGCUCUCAAGACACCGCUGAUCCCAUUGUGCCACAGUGGGAACUUCAGGCAGUGACUUCUUGAUGAUGUUAUGGCGGUGGCGAUGACAACACGGUGGGUGGAUCGUUUGACAUGUUGCCAGUUGCUCUUUGGGGCCGGGGGUUAUUGAGAGACUAAAGUUCCCAGGAUAUUCCAAAUGCUGUGUUGGAACAGAGGUUGAUUUGAAAAGAAAGAGAGAAAAGAAGGAGGGAAGGAAGGAAGGAAGGAAGAG
rnacentral:lncRNA from 1 species